UUGUCUCCUUUUUCUUUCUUCUCCUUACCUUAUUUUUCUGCAUUUCCUGCCUCCCCUCCCCUCGCCCCUCGCUCUGCCUGCUCAGCGGUGCCGGCAUCGGGGCGCUUUCGGGGGGAUGCAGUGAAUUCCAGCCGGAGCCCCCGCAGGCUGGCCGCUCUCUGCUAUUCUUUCAGGUCUCCAGCCCUACUCUCUCUGCAGGAAACAGAGGAGCUGAUCCAAGUUCAAAGUCACGUCGCCGUCCCUCCUAAGAAGUGCUUUAUUUGCCUCUGAACCGCAAAACCCCUUUCCCCCAUGUCACAGGGUAACAAGGGAAGGGAGCGAGGGAGGAAGGGAGGAAGGGAGGGGGGCAGAGGCACCGGCAGCCAGCCCCGCACUCUCUCGUCGGGCCACGGCCACGAACACAGCCUGCGGCUCACGGCAGCUUUCGAGGGAGGAAAGCAAGUGGUCACCCAAAGUCGGUGCUGAACUGGUUUAUUGAAAGAAGUUUUUCAACAGGUUUCUGGAGGUGCCAGACCUACAGAGCAAACGUCAGCUUCCCCGGGAAAGCUUUCCCGUCUUUCCUUUUCCCGAGAGAUGUCACCGCCCUCUGGGGAGGCUCCGCGCCCCCUUUCUCCAUCCCCCCUCCCUGGCAGCCAUGGGUGCCGCAGUGGGAGCGCAGGCUGCGGUGGGACCGGGGGCUCUGUCCAUGGGAGGAUGCGGCUGGCGACGGCUUCGUCGGGAAAAGGAGGUGGAAUGACCCACUGGAGACGGGUGUGUGUGCGUAUGAGAGAGAGAGGAAAAGGGGGAAGAAGGUGUCUUUCCCCCAAAAUUCAGCCGUCCAACACAGUAAAGGGACGAGGUGCGGGGCGAGGAGGAGGAGGAGUGUGGCCAGCCCGUAGCCUGGUGAGAAGAGGCCAGUUGAGCGGCAUCACUUGCACCGUUGUCUGUAUCACAGACGCUCAUAAAUUCAACAAGCUCAUCAACAGGAUAUUAAGUUGCAGGUUACCUUUGAUGGUGCCGAUCCGAGCCACUUCUAGGCCGUUCGACCUAUGACCCGUGAAGACCACAUGUGUUGUGCUGUAGCCUCCCUCUGUAAAACACACACUUCGAGACAAAAGUUCUUUGUCAGGCUCUACCGGCAGAGUAAUGUAAAAGGAAAAGGGGAAAUAAUGAAAAUCUCAGCCAAAGCUGUAACUUUUAAACGCUUCUUUAAAAUCUAAAAUAGAAAAAAAAAAUGAAAAAAGAAAAGAAAAAAAAAAAAGGAAAAAAUACUCUAGGCAGGGUAGGGACAGAAGGAGGGAGCACCUCGCUUUUGUGCCAUUAAUAUUUAUUGUUCCUUCAGUUGCGCUUGUAUAUGUAUAAAACCUCGCUCUCAGCAGCAAUGCCAUGAGACGGCGGGGGCCAGGAGCAGUGUAGCACUUUUUUCCAGGACGGGAACCUCGGCUGAGCGGCAGCCGGUGCCUCUGCCCUGCCCAGCUGCGGCUGAGGGACGCGCAGCGCCGCGUAUUUUGCGCGCCCUGCUCAUCCUGCAGCCAGCACAGACCGGCGCAACGCCUCCCAAAAUGGGGUCUGCUGCAGCACUGCCGGGUUUUAUUACAUGCACCUUUUUCCAUCUGGAGAUGCCCAUAUAAACGUUAGAGGCCGGGGAGAAGAGUCCCAAUAAGGCGCGAUGGACUUUGUAAUACAAUUUAUGCUGUCAUUCAUAAAUAACAAUGCCAUAUGGUAACCAUAUUGCUUAUACAAGUAAAGCCGUCAAAGUGUCACUGUUUGAUUUAUCUCAACAGCUUCUUCCAACGGUGACGUUCAGAGAGAGGGGAAGUGGAAAAGAGAGAGAGAGCAGAGCAAAAUUUGGCCUGGGUUUCCUGAGACCGCCUCUCUCUUUAUCUCUUUCUUUCUAUAUAUGGAUAGAUAGAUAGAUAGAUAGAUAGAUAGAUAGAUAGAUAGAUAGAUAGAUAGAUAGAUAGAAGAAAUUUUUUUUCUUAUUUUUGUCCCUAUUUGAGCAAAGGGGAUGGCCCCUCUUUCCCCGACGAGGCGCACACUGAACACGAUAGCUCCGAAACUUAUGCUCGUAAAUUCCUGUCCCAAAAGUGCAGCGGGUCCCGGCCCCGACAGCCCCUAGCCUGGACGUCGAAUCCUUGCCUCAGGCUCCCGCUUGGAUGCACGGAGCGACGACAUUUGGCACAGCAGAAGUUUAAUUUUAAAGAGUAUAAACGAUCUAUCCGCUGAGCCCCUCCAAAAAUAAGGGGUGGGGAGUCUCACUGCCAUAUCGCUACUCUCUCUUUCCCUUUCACGCCCCUGGGCAGCCUGGGCGGCUCUCGGCCGAGGUCCCUGCGCCUCUGUGCUAUUCCCCCCGACAGGACAGUGAGCAGGGUGCCGUGGGGACGUCCUGCCCGUGUGGGUCUCCAUGGGGCUGUGACUCGGGGAGCUCCCUCCUGCUGUGGGCGGACUCCACCUCCCAUCCCGCAUGUUCGCGGGGGGAACCGCGCCACGGGCUCCCCCUGCGCCGCAAAGCAGCCCCACGAGCGUAGAAAGCCACCGGCGACGGGCCGGGAGGCAGGCAGGCUUUUCUGGCAUAUCUGGGGAGUCUUGCAGGUCUUCCCGAGGAAAGCGGCAACCGCGCUCCCUUUCUAAUGGUUCCCCAGAAGAAUGCUUUACACGUUUAAAAUAUUGCUCCCCGCUCCCUAACUAUCAAUAAGACGUGCAUUAAAGACGAUUGUUUGUAAAUGGUGUUCAUGAUCAUUAGCAUACAUUUACAUAAUGCAGCUCACAGCGCAGCGUUUUACAGUUAAACACCUCCUAAAGCCGAUAGCCCGAGCUCAGUUUAUAGAGGAAGCUUUACGAAAUAAAUUUUAAGGCUUCCAGGCUUUCACCUCGCCUCUGCAGCCUCCCCCGAUGUCCCUUGGCAGGUUUGCCGACGAGCCGAGCGCAGCGGGAGAGCUCUGCAGCCGGCUCCGCCGCGGGAACAGGGCGCGUUCCGACCCUCGACGGAUGCUGUCGGGGUUGUGGGGGGGCUGUGGGGGUAACACAGCACGCCUCCCCUCUGCUGCAGCCCCAGAGAGCAGCGGCAGCCUGGGCCUGAGCUGGUGUCGGUGAGUUAAUGGGCUUUAAAUUCUUCAUGGUUCUUUUGGAGCUGGCAGAGUCCAAAAUUGUCUCUGCGAGGGCAGCCACCUUCUCUUCCUGGUGUUUGCAGCCAGUCCUAAAAAUGAGCGAAUUUCCACGUGAGUCUCCAUCAACCCCUCCCUCUCCAUAGUCACAGGUCAGCUGCCUAUUAGCCAGCUAUAAAAUAUUUUCAUUUUUUAUAGCCUCCCAUAAAAAGAAAUUGAUCGGGGUAUAUAUUUGAAUUAAGACAUAUUAAAUCGAUGACAGAUACACAUCACCUGCGUUUAACAGGAGAGGGACAAGAAGGUAUGCAGAAGGUUCUGCGGAGCUGUGAUAUUUGUUUUUCACCUCCACAGCAUCUCCCGUCAAACCAUUCCAUCUCCAGCAACGCACGCAGAAUAUGGGGAGGAGGGAAGGCACUAUUUGGAUGAACCUAUAGAAAAUAUACCUAUAUAAAUACCCGUAUAGACGUAUGGCUACUUUGCGUGAAGUUUUUACUGUGCAAUAAAACCAUCAAGCAGCCGCUUUUAUAACCAGGGGGUCAUUUAUUCCCAUUCCUUGCCUUGCAGCAUCACUGAAACCCCCACGGCUGCCACGCGAGCCGGGAGCAUUGGCUUGUCUCCGGCGUGGGACAAAUUCUGCGAGUUUUCCCCCGCGAGUAGCGGCGGGAGAGGUGGAGGAGGGGGAGCCUGGAGCCUGGCCCAGGAAAUGCCGAACCAGCACGGGGCUUCCUUUGAACGUGGCUUGGCACAGGAAAGCGGCCAAGACGCACAGAUGUAGUUUCGUCAAGGGGAUUAGGUGGCCGGGGAGAGCCGGGGGUGUGUGCGGGUCCACUGGCGUCCCCCGCCCCGUUUCCUCUCCUGGAGAGACGGAGAAGCGUCCCAGGCUGCCCCGCAGAGAGGGAAGGGCAGCCAGCUUGCCUGCACUUUCCAGGAGUGCGAGAGCUCAAGGCAUUCCUGGGGACACUAACAGCCUGAAGAAAGCAGAUGACAUAUCAAUAAAAGCUAUUUCUCCUCCCACGGAAAA